CGGGCGGCUCCACCAGUGGGGAAUAUUGGACAAUGGGCGCAAGCCUGAUCCAGCAAUGCCGCGUGAGUGAAGACGGCCUUAGGGUUGUAAAACUCUUUCGCUAGGGAAGAUAAUGACUGUACCUAGUAAAGAAGUCCCGGCUAACUCCGUGCCAGCAGCCGCGGUAAUACGGAGGAGACUAGCGUUGUUCGGAAUUACUGGGCGUAAAGAGUUCGUAGGCGGACUGACAAGUUAGAGGUGAAAUCCCAGGGCUCAACCCUGGAACUGCCUUUAAAACUGUCAGGCUAGAGACCGGAAGAGGUUAGGGGAAUACCUAGUGUAGAGGUGAAAUUCGUAGAUAUUAGGUGGAACACCAGUGGCGAAGGCGCCUAACUGGUCCGGUACUGACGCUGAGGAACGAAAGCGUGGGGAGCAAACAGGAUUAGAUACCCCGGUAGUC
rnacentral:rRNA from 1 species